GUGUUGGAACAGUGGUGCUUGGGGACUGUGCCUGUCCUUUGUGCUGGCUGCUCUCAACGAGGCAGAAAAUUAAUUGUAAAGAGGAACUCACACACACCUGCCUGCAGCUGAAGAGCAGCUUGUGUCAGAGAUCACCUAGACUUGACUGCUGUCAAAUACUGGCUGCAAGUGAGAUGGGUUUCCUGAAUGCUGUGUUUUACUUGGUGACAUAUCCUGAACCUUUGGGAAGAGCUUUUUCAAAUAAGCUUUUCUCAAGUUUUUUGCAGAUGUCUUUUUUUUUUUUCUUUCUUUCUUCUUAUAAGGAGUACUAGGCUAUCACAGCAUUGGAAAUGCUGAUAAAUUGGUGUAAAAGUCUUGUCUGCUAUUCCUUUCCCUAUCUAAUGUUCAUCUCUGCACUGUCCUCAGAACAUGUCCUGCCCAUAGUUGCUCUGUUAACUUGUCCCUGCUCAUAACACCCUGCACAAAAACCACAACUGGGUGCUUUUUGGUCUGAUUAAAAUCACGCUGUGCAAUAGGAAAUACAAAUUAGCUCUGGCCUUUGGGCUCCUGACAAGUUUCCAGUGCUGCUUUCAGCACCACGCAGAUUGUGUAACUCCAUCCGUGCGUCCUCCGUGUGGUGACGUCUCCCCCUCCGUCAUGAGCUGGGCUGGCUGCCACACAUCCAGGUUCAGCUGUUAAUACUUCAAGCAGCUUUUAGAACUGAAGGAGGAAGAGAGAUUGCCAGCAGCCUUGUGAAAUGCGGAAACCAGCUUUUUCUUGCUAGGAGACAGUGUGGGAAGGGGCAAAAAGAGGGUUUUUUCUAGGUAAUUCCCCAAAUCUUGAUGUUUGUGCAAAUACCUCCCUGUCUAAUGAGCAAUUGGGGAGCUCAGCACCAGGACAGCCAAUGCUUCAGUACAGGAUUAACCUCUGAAGGAAGAGCACAGUAGCAUCUUAUACAAACUGUGGCUUAAGUUUGCCUGGCCAUGAAGCACACAGCACUUUCCUGCCUCCUCCAAGGAUUCAAGCCAGGCAACUAUGUUGCAUCAUUUCAGCAUUGCUAACAGAAGGGCUCAGGCAGCAGCUACCGUGUCAUGCCUUCAACAGAAACCUUUAAGUCUCGGCAACUUCCUCUGAGGAUGCUGAAGCAAACACUGUCCAGACCUGCAAGUGAACAAGUUACAAAUGACAUCUCUGGUUCGAAAUGGUGCGUGGGCGCGACGUGGGUGAAUGUUCCCUGCCCUGGGUGUUUUCUAAAGGUCUCUGAAGCAUGAGGCAUGACUGAAUGACUUGUGUUUUCUUUAAAUGACGAGUGGGUGAAUCUUGAAUCAUUGGUCUGCUUUUAUUUUUGUUAGAUGUGUGUGGGCUGACAACAUGACUCAGUAUUUUCUCUGCAGAUGCAAAGAUCGUACUGCCAAUUCUCAGUGUGCUUCAGACAGUUUCACACAGAGAACUGGAAUGCUUUUUCAGUCCAGAGCUUUGCUUUUCGGCAGUCUUAAGCCUCUUGAUGUGAAAAUAAAUAAGUAAUUUUAAAAAUGAGUGCUUUGCCAGAAUCUGCAAAAAUACACCGAAGAAAUGGCCAAACAUGGGGAAAGUACCUCUACCUCAAUGUUUCCCCAAUAAUUUGUCUGAUUUUUUUCACGUUAUUCUGGAAAUGGCCAUUAACAUCUGAUUUCUCUUUGUGAUUCUCCCUAGCCUCAGUUGCUGCUGGGCCAUCUCUCUGUCUGCUGAGUAUAAUCUCUGGUGUUUAUUUAACCACCCUUGGCCUGCUGGGUGAGAGCCACCAUCCUCGGACUGAUGGCUACACCUGAAACACAACACAUAUGCAUUUUUAUGGCCAAUUUGGACAAAGUCAUCCCUCCAGAUGGUAACUGCAACUUCUAGAUAAGACCUGACAUGUGACAACCUAAGAAACACCAAACUGAGGAGGGAAGGAAGGAAUUGUCCAUUUUCAGACGCCAGCGUGGCUACAUAUACUGACACUGUUGCACAAACACAAACAAUUUUAUCUGGAACAGUUGCCUCUUGGUAGUUGUUCCAUUACCUGUAAUUGAUUAUGCCAGAGCUUGCAGCCUCUAUGAUCAGAAAGCAACUUCCUCUGUGUGUUUUUGAAUCAGAUUAAUAAAGGGAAACAAUAUUUCUACUG